GCUUGUCUCAAAGAUUAAGCCAUGCAUGUCUUAGUGUAAAUAACUCUUAUGAAACUGCGAAUGGCUCAUUAAAUCAGUUAUCAAAUACGUGAUGGUCGCCUACUACAUGGAUAACCGUAGUAAUUCUAGAGCUAAUACAUGCACAAAGGCCCACUCACGUGGGUUGUGAUUAUUAGAUACAAAACCAACCCGGGCAACCGGUCCUUUGGUGAUUCAUGAUAACUUUGCGAAUCGCAUAGCUUUAAUGCUGGCGAUGGGUCAUUCAAAUUUCUGCCCUAUCAACUUUCGACGGUAGGAUAGAGGCCUACUGUGGUGAUAACGGGUAACGAAGAAUAAGGGUUCGAUUUCGGAGAGGGAGCCUGAGAAACGGCUACCACAUCCAAGGAAGGCAGCAGG
rnacentral:rRNA from 1 species